UACGUAGGGUGCAAGCGUUGUCCGGAAUUAUUGGGCGUAAAGAGCUCGUAGGCGGUUUGUCGCGUCUGCUGUGAAAACCCGAGGCUCAACCUCGGGCCUGCAGUGGGUACGGGCAGACUAGAGUGCGGUAGGGGAGAAUGGAAUUCCUGGUGUAGCGGUGGAAUGCGCAGAUAUCAGGAGGAACACCGAUGGCGAAGGCAGUUCUCUGGGCCGUUACUGACGCUGAGGAGCGAAAGCAUGGGGGAGCGAACAGG
rnacentral:rRNA from 1 species